CUACGGGGGGCAGCAGUGGGGGAUAUUGCACAAUGGAGGAAACUCUGAUGCAGCAACGCCGCGUGAGGGAAGAAGGUUUUCGGAUUGUAAACCUCUGUUUUCGGUGAAGAAAAAAAUGACGGUAGCCGAAGAGGAAGCCACGGCUAACUACGUGCCAGCAGCCGCGGUAAUACGUAGGUGGCAAGCGUUGUCCGGAUUUACUGGGUGUAAAGGGUGCGCAGGCGGGACUGCAAGUUGGAUGUGAAAAUCUGAGGCUCAACCUCAGAACUGCAUCCAAAACUGUGGUUCUUGAGUGGAGUAGAGGUAAGCGGAAUUCCGAGUGUAGCGGUGAAAUGCGUAGAUAUUCGGAGGAACACCAGUGGCGAAGGCGGCUUACUGGGCUCUAACUGACGCUGAGGCACGAAAGCAUGGGUAGCAAACAGGAUUAGAUACCCUCGUAGUC
rnacentral:rRNA from 1 species